rnacentral:lncRNA from 1 species
UAUUACCUUUGAUUUAUGGUGUUGAAAAACAUAUUCAACCUAAUUUAUGCAGGAAUUAACUUUGGUAGAGAUUAAUUUUGGAUCUAUGGCCCCUUUCUAAAAUAUAUCAUCUCUAUUCAUAAUCUUGGCUUGCAGACAGAGAUGGUAGUGAGGAAAAGGAAAAAAAAACCAAAACCUUCCAGAAGGGAAAUACUUUUAAGUCCUUAAAUGAGGAUAACAGAAUGUUUUUAAAAUUAGGAUCCCUUGCAGUUCACAGCCAGAAUUUAGAAUGAACCAAACAGUGUUUUCCACUGAGUUUGGACAUUUGGUAGAGCAUUUUACAUGAACAUACAUAAAAUAGAAGGAAAUAAAAAACAGGACUGUGGCAUACAUUAAUGCUUAAUAAUAAGUCAUUAAUAACUCUGAACUAUUUAACCGGAAUUACUCUUCUAUUAUCUGUGUCGUAUCUUAUAGACUCCUGAGCGCAUGUGUGUCUGAGUGUGUGUCUUGGAAGAGAAAAAGGAUAGGAAGGAGAGGGAAAGAAAUCAAAGGGAAAAUUUUUAAAUCAAAGAGAAGUACAAAAUAUAGCUCCGAGCCUCGGGACAGUCAAGGGGAAAAGGCUACGAUGAAUGCCAUGCCUGACACUAGAAGCAUGUUAGUUUGCCAAGAGGAAUUAAUUUUCAGCAAGUCGCCUUUGUUUUAGAAAACAAACAACAUAGCAGACAGUGUCUCUUUUGCUUUACUUUUCUUAGACCCCAGCUCUCUCUACCGUUUCACACCUCACUGGCUGAGGUGAGUCACUCACCGACAUUACCUGCCUGGCCCCAGUCCGCACUUGUGCUUGUGACCCCUCGUCCUGAGGCUGCUGUUCGAAGCUCAUCACGCCUCUUCCUGUGGAAGCCGCGGGCCAGAGAGCCACCCGGUGAGUAGAGGGGGAGACAAAGGGAGUCGCCCCCCACCCUUCCUACGCCAGGGGGCACCUUGUCUCCGCAGCUGCUGGUGCUUCUCUCCUGAGUCCCCUGUGCUGUCGUCCCCGCCUCCAGCCAGCACCCACACAUCCAGGCCCUCGCCGCUUACGGGAUGGUGUCCCACGGGAGAGUGUCCCACGGGAGAGUGUCCCACGGGAGAGUGUCUGGGGAGAGGGCCCCCAGAGAGCCUCCCUCAUCGGGGGGGCUGUGUCUAUUAGUUUUCACUUAUACGGGAAUGCAGGGGCAUUCCCCUUGACUAUGUGUCUUAUUGGACCAAAACAGAGAGUAUAUAAUAUUAAGCCAUUGUCCUGGAGAUUAUCUGACCGAGGGAGUGAUUCCGGUUGGCUUCAAGACUGUGUCCUUGGCAGUGACAUGCUUUAGUUCUGAAAGGGAAAACAAAUCUCUCUCCUCUACCAGCCUGCCACAAAAAGCACUGUGCAAAGCUUAGUCAAGUGCGCAAAUCUCUACUGUGAACUUUCCUACCAUAUCUGGGGGAAUUACUGGGCCUUGAAAGCUCCCACCAACAGAUAAGAAGAAAGGUUGUAAGAUGAUUUGACACACAGUUUUGAAGG